rnacentral:rRNA from 1 species
CGCAGCUUACCAUGCAAGUCGAGCGGUAACAGGGGGUGCUUGCACCCCGCUGACGAGCGGCGGACGGGUGAGUAAUGCAUAGGAAUCUGCCCAGUAGUGGGGGAUAGCCCGGGGAAACCCGGAUUAAUACCGCAUACGCCCUUUGGGGGAAAGCAGGGGAUCUUCGGACCUUGCGCUAUUGGAUGAGCCUAUGUCGGAUUAGCUAGUUGGUGGGGUAAAGGCCUACCAAGGCGACGAUCCGUAGCUGGUCUGAGAGGAUGAUCAGCCACAUCGGGACUGAGACACGGCCCGAACUCCUACGGGAGGCAGCAGUGGGGAAUAUUGGACAAUGGGGGCAACCCUGAUCCAGCCAUGCCGCGUGUGUGAAGAAGGCUUUCGGGUUGUAAAGCACUUUCAGUGAGGAGGAAAACCUUCUGGUUAAUACCCAUGAGGCUUGACGUUACUCACAGAAGAAGCACCGGCUAACUCCGUGCCAGCAGCCGCGGUAAUACGGAGGGUGCAAGCGUUAAUCGGAAUUACUGGGCGUAAAGCGCGCGUAGGUGGUUUGAUAAGCGAGAUGUGAAAGCCCCGGGCUUAACCUGGGAACGGCAUUUCGAACUGUCAGG